rnacentral:rRNA from 1 species
CCUACGGGCGGCAGCAGUGGGGAAUAUUGCACAAUGGGGGAAACCCUGAUGCAGCGACGCCGCGUGAAGGAAGAAGUCUUUCGGUAUGUAAACUUCUAUCAGCAGGGAAGAAAAUGACGGUACCUGACUAAGAAGCCCCGGCUAACUACGUGCCAGCAGCCGCGGUAAUACGUAGGGGGCACGCGUUAUACGGAUUUACUGGGUGUAACGGGAGCGUAGGCGGUGAUGCAAGUCAGACGUGAAAGCCCGCAGCUCAACUGCGGGACUGCUUUUGAAAAUGGAUGACUAGAUUGCAGGAGAGGGAAGUUGAAUUCCUAGUGUAGCGGGGAAAUGCGUAGAUAUUAGGAGGAACACCAGUGGCGAAGGCGGCUUACUGGACUGUAAAUGACGCUGAGGCUCGAAAGCGUGGGGAGCAAACAGGAUUAGAUACCCUUGUAGUC